UACGUAGGGUGCAGGCGUUAAUCGGAAUUACUGGGCGUAAAGCGUGCGCAGGCGGUUCGCUAAGUCUGAUGUGAAAGCCCCGGGCUCAACCUGGGAACUGCAUUGGAAACUGGCGAGCUUGAGUGUGGCAGAGGGGGGUGGAAUUCCACGUGUAGCAGUGAAAUGCGUAGAGAUGUGGAGGAACACCGAUGGCGAAGGCAGCCCCCUGGGCUAACACUGACGCUCAGGCACGAAAGCGUGGGGAGCAAACAGG
rnacentral:rRNA from 1 species